GCAGCCGAGGGCGGGAGGGCGCGGCGAGAGGGGGGGCCCGGGGUCGGGGGGGCCCGGGCGCCCGGGCGGGGGUCGAGGUGCUGCGGUAUCGGCGCGCGUGGCGGCCACGUAUGUAGGAGCGGCCGCGUGCGGUUCCUGUAUCUGCACCAGGAUGGCCGAGUGGUUAAGGCGUUGGACUUAAGAUCCAAUGGACGUAUGUCCGCGUGGGUUCGAACCCCACUCCUGGGUAGUGCCAUCGUAUUCCAGCCUAUCGACAGUGCGAGAUGUACAAAUUAAGCCUAGACUGCCACACUGUAAAAUAUUAGUGUUUGUCAGAGUGCCCUCCUCAAAUUAAUACAGGAGGAGCUUUUGUCUGAAAACCACGGAAAAUUUGUGCACUAGUGGAGAUGGCCUUACAUGCGCAAUUAUAAAAAUAUCAGCUGGUCUAGCAGCUAGCUGCAGUGGAAAGAGGCCAAGAUGCUGUCUCUCCAAUGCCCUGGCAGUGCUGUGCCUUCACACUGUUUCCUUUGGUCUUCCACUGCCAGGAGAUAGCUAGCUUGAUAGCCAUGGCUUCCAUAACAUGUAUUUUGACAGCACUGUGACAGUGCAGGAUAUAUCUAUGGCAGUUAACAAAUCCUAUAGUAUUCUGCAACUGCAAACGAACUGAGACAUGCCCAACCUGUUGUACUGCAUUCAUUCCAGUGACCUGCCCCAAAACAUACUUGACACAUCGGUGAAGAAGAGAUACUGAAAACAACUGAAUUCAGUUCUUGUGAUGUCUCUGCCUGUCCACCUCCCCACCCCCACCCUUGAAGAAAAUAUUUUUCUACAGAAAGGAAUGAUUGGGUAGAAUAAGAAGUUUGUGGUAUGAAUGCACGAGCCAGAAUUCUUUAAGAAGAAAAAGCAGUUCAUGCCUUCCAAAAUAUAAUACAGAGAAACACCGUGCAUGAGAUGAAGCUGUUGCUCUGUAUGAAAUUAAUAGGGAGAGAGCUCAGCCAUUGACACACGAAUAAGGAUCUGCAUGACAAAGAAGGUACGGUAUCCGGCUGAAAUACUAGCAAACUCAAGAGUGUUGGGAAAUAUGAGAGAAGAAUGGGGUGGAAUUGAGCAUCUCAGACUUGUAAUCAACUUUUGCUUCUAGAGCAUUUUCUUGUGGUUAGAAAAUCUUCUCCCAUGCCAGUUUCAGUUAUUUUUCUUGGUAAGUUGUCUCAAUGAGGGAUUUAAGCAGAGUUACGAGCACUCCUCUUUUAGGUUGGGCUCUGCAUAGAAUGUUUAAGAGAUCUUAAGGUUCAUGGGGGUAAGCCAAAAGGAUCACCCAAAAGGAUCCUGUAUGUGUCCUGUUGAGCCAGAGUUAGAGCCGAUGCCUCGCGUUCAUCUGGAAGUCCAUAACAAACUUGUCUUCGUAACCACAAAUGAGCCUGGAUUAUAAUGUUAACUAUCUCAGAAUGUUGUUUUAUUUUUUUAACCAGAAAUAUUAUACCAAGAUCUUAACCGUCAGACUGGGAUGUGUGUAUUUUGCAAUGUACAUUGUUUCCUUUUAUGUACUGUUUGUCAUCAGCAGUGUUGGCAUUACUGGUUCCCAGGUAGAAAGUAUAUUUUGGUAUGAUUAAAGCAUUCAACUUACAAAAUACACAUAUGGUAUUUCUGGAGGGAGACACUGGGAACUGACCAAGGAGUUACUGACUGCUGUUCAUCUGUAAACCGGUACUUCUGGCAGCGACUUUGAGAGUCAGCAUCCCUGAGCACCACUGUGUUAACAUUUACAGUUACCUGCUCUGGUCAAUAUACAUAGUUCUUUAUUUUGCCAAUUGUAAAAAUUGAGUUAUAAAAAAUGAUUUUUUCAGCUUAUUUUUCUAGCCAUUAUAUAUGUUCAGCUAAAAAAAGAGUAGCUUGAGAAAGCAAUUCAAAGACUUUUAAUUCAUCUGUGUGAAUAUCUGUGUUAAAAAAUAACUCAGUUAACUCUUAACAAGAUAGCUGGCUUCUCAGGGAAAGAUACUCACAUGGAAGGCACUUCUGAGGAUACACCUAAUUAGCUGUGCUGCUGCAGCCCAUGUUUAUGGAUAUAAAUUCAUGGCUCCUGAUCCUGUGACAGACUGUAUUCAGUUUAUAGGUGCAGAGAGAACUUGCGGAAGCAGUGAAGCGGCUUACAGUCGGCAGCGCUGCCCCCUUCACGUACACAGCCAUUUCUGACACAGAAACGAGAACGGAGCUGAGCAGGGGCCAGCAGGCUGGGUGAUGUGACUCCUCGCUUUAGGAGCUACGUCGGCAACUGGGUGGAUGGAGGCAGUGGCCCUUCCCUUGUUUGCAGGAAAACUUGCUCCGUCCUGGGCAGCCCAGCUGUUUGACAGCUCCAGUGUGUGAAGACAGGAACAGUUUGAGGUCACCUCCACUGGUUUUGUUGCUUGGAUCCGUUUAGCCGUCUGCUUUGGGCUCUCCUCUCUCUUGUACUUGUUCCAUGGUGCGGUUUUAUGCUUGAGUGGGUUUAACAGUGGCCAAAGGGGUAAUGCUUUUUCCUUCUUUGCUUUUUCCUUCUUUGCCCUUGACAUCGCUCUUCCACUGCUGCUCUUUGUGCUGAAGCACUUUGCUUCUUUGGAGUCAGCCAAACAGCAGUGCUGGAGAAACAGACCCCGUGGGGACACGCACGUGAGAAAGGGAAGUGUCUGUUAGCUGGCAGCUGCCCUUUGGCUCAGCCAUACCAUAGAACUACUGCCUUUAUAGGCACCUGCCUGGCCUUGCAAGUUAUCUACUCUUUUGCUCUACAAAUCCAAAGUAAUUGAGCUGUUGAGGAACAAUGCGGAUCACAAAGGCCGUAAAAGACAAAUAUCAUCUGAAGAUAAAGCACGCACAGUCAAGAGAAUCGGGGCUGUGAAGUUUGCAGCGAAGAUUAAAUGAUUCAGAAAGCAGCCCCUUUGAGGAUGCAUUGCAACAUACGGUCUUUGAAGAAACCGUUCCCCUGGAGCCCCCUGGCUAGACCUCCCCACACUAAACCUGAGAGUCUUCCUGUACAUAAAGGGCUCUGACGGCAGUCUAGGCCUCUGAAAAGCCUCUUCGUGCCAGUGCUGGAACUACAGACGGCUGCAGGAACACCACCACCCGCUGGUUUGGCUUCCUGGUGGCAGAGCUGGUGACUGGCCCUGCUGAAGACCCUGUACCCCACAGCUGAGGGGAACCAGCAAAGCUACUAGGGCGUGUGACAAAUACAGAGCCUUACAAAGCGUUUGGUGCUCUCUCCCCGGUCACUUUCUGCCUGUGCUGGUGCAGGGAGGUGGAUGGUUUCCAGCCGAAACAGCUGAUGGAAAAUUCCCACUACAGAAGAAAAAGUAGAGGCUUAUUCUUCUGUAACAGUGGGCUGGAGUCAAACCUCGUAAAGCUGGGGCACGGGGUGGUGCCCCCACUGCGCCUGUGCCCCGUGAGAGACACAGGGGUGCUUCUGCUGCUGUCAGGCUGCCGGGUGGUGAGUCGGGGAUCCUCACUGCUCCCCUGGGUGUGCCUUUCUCACUGCUCCAAGUGAAGAUCAGAAGAAAAUCAGAGCUCAGCACUGAAAGCAAGCUGAGCAUGGAGUGUUUGGAGGGGAGGCCCCAUAAGGAGAAUGCAGAGUGACUGAAUCACUUCACCACCCACUGAAAUACUCUACAAAUAAAGUUGUGUUGUUUAAUUAUAGAUCGCAUGCUGGAAUGAUGUAAUCCUGAAUGUAUAUAGGGGAGAGCACUCCAAAUCAUUACCUUAGGUAUUAGUGACAGCUUUGGCUGAAUUUGAAAGUGUAUCCUCAAGGUGAAAAGCAGUCCUUGGAUUUACAGGAUUUCUGAAUCCUCUCUAGGACUUGUAGGCUUCCUCAGUCAUUGUUGAAAAGGUUUUGUUUUCCUUCAUUUUUCACAUUCUAAUUUGGUAACGUUUCUUUCCCGUUGCUAGUGCUACCAGGCUUCUGUUUGUUGGUCGCUGUUCCUAAAAACAAAUCCGGGCUUAGACUUCCGUGGGAAAAAGAUGUGGAGUAGGGAGAAGGAGGAAGGCCCUUUGGAAGAUUUGCGGCGUUUGAUGAUGUUACAAAUGAGGCCAACAGCUGUUUUAAAAAGAGCUAUUCAACUGGUUUAUUUAUGUCAAAAAUGGGGGAGGCCAAUGAAACUCGUGCCCGCUUUGUUCUAAGGCUCAGGAUGUUCUGCUGGUCGUAUUUAUCCGCCUGCUGUGUGCUUUAUCUUUGGCUGGUGUCAGUGGAGGUUUUUGUAAUAGCCUGUUUAUUUCACUCUAUUGCUCUGAGAUGUCAGUGCAGCUUUGCGCUUUGGAUAUUUAUAAAUAAAUCAUUACUUUCACAAA